rnacentral:rRNA from 1 species
AUCAUCGAAUCUUUGAACGCACAUUGCGCCCUCUGGUAUUCCGGGGGGCAUGCCUGUUCGAGCGUCAUUA